rnacentral:rRNA from 1 species
ACGAGAAGAACCUCACCCGGGNUAAAUCCNGUGGGACCGCCCCCGAGANGGGGGUUCCUUUGGGGCGCCCCGGAAGGUGGUGCAUGGCUGUNGUCAGCUCGUGUCGUGAGGAGUUGCGUUAANGCGCAACGAGCGCAACCCCCNUGGUUAGUUNCCAGCACGUCAUGGUGGGGACUUUAGGCAGACUGCCUGCGCAAAUACUGAGGAAGGUGGGGAAGACGUCAAGUCAUCAUGGCCCUUUUGUCCGGGGGUGCCCCCGUGCUNCAAUGGGCGGUACAAGGGGCAGCCACCCCGGGAGCGGGAGCAAAUUCCCAAAACCCUUUCCAGUUUGGGAUGGAGUUUGCAACUUGANUCCCGAAAGUNGAAUUUNGNUAUC